UUAGUUGUAGCUAGCAAUCUUUGAAUUAAUUGAAACCAAGACUAUGUCAAAGAUGGCUUCUUCCAAGUCAACCAUUCUCUUUGAUUUUAGUCACCUUCAGCUACCAAUUAGCUAUGAAGGUUUCAUUAUUUCGGGUCAAAUGGUACUUUACCAUUUCCUUAAGUAUAUGUCAUAUAUACACUCAAUGUAGUCAUAAGGAUUCUUAUUUCUUUCAAAUUAAGAGGUGUAACUCUAUGACAUAGUCAUAAAGUUCAAACCAUUCAACUGAGACAACUUAUAAAUCCUUCUCGACUACCUUGGAGCUUGUGGUGUAGGAACUAGGUUGUUAUAUUUGUUGAUUAUCAUCUUGUCUCUAAAAGAACCCAUUCUUUGAGUUCUAUCUCUUGUUCAUUUGCGCUUAGGCAAAUCAUAUUGUAGGAUUACAAUGAACUACCCAACAAAACAACAUUUGUUAGUUGGUUUAUAGAAGUGAUAUCCAAAGGUUAAUUUAAGGAUAUCCACAAGAUAAUUCUCAAACAAAUAUUGCUUAUUAGCACAUAACCUCAAAUCUUAACACGAUUAAGACUUAUCUUUCUUUCCAACUACAUCCUAUGGAGUCAUGAAAAUUUUGGAAGAUCUUCUAAUUUUCAAUCAUAUUGUCUUAGAAGUAUAUAUCCUAUAUAUGGGUAAUUGAUAACAUCCAACAAACUAAAUCUUAUUCAAGUUCGUUCUUCACCUAAUCGAGAAAUCCAUUAUCUUAUGAUGCUUCUUUCCUUGAUAUCUUUCAAGGAAACUGUUGUAAAGUGUUACCUUUCCUUGGAUCAAAUCUAAGGAGGUAAAUACUUUAGACGUCUUACUCAUCAACUUACAUUCUUGAAUUCUUUGAAACCUUUUGCAAAGUAUUCGGACUUGUGUUUAUUCAAAAUAAAUGAUAGUCUAACCGAGAGCGAUCUUCGGUGAAUGUCAUACAACAUGAGUAGUAUUAUGUUGUGGACAAGUGCCACUAACAUCUAAGUGAAUUAACCUCAACAACUUUGUGAUUCUUUCUUCCUUUCCAAAAGAAUAAAGAUUCAAACAUUUUGCCUCUAUACAAUUUUAACAAAAAGGCAUUGGAUCCGGAUCUAACGAUCCAAAGCAUCCAUCUAUGACCAACUCG
rnacentral:lncRNA from 1 species